GACGAACGCUGGCGGCGUGCCUAAUACAUGCAAGUUGAGCGAUGAAGAUUGGUGCUUGCACCCAUUUGAAGAGCAGCGAACGGGUGAGUAACGCGUGGGGAAUCUGCCUUUGGGCGGGGGACAACAUUUGGAAACGAAUGCUAAUACCGCAUAACAACUUUAAACAUAAGUUUUAAGUUUGAAAGAUGCAAUUGCAUCACUCAAAGAUGAUCCCGCGUUGUAUUAGCUAGUUGGUGAGGUAAAGGCUCACCAAGGCGAUGAUACAUAGCCGACCUGAGAGGGGGGGCGGCCACUGGGGGACUUGGACCCGGCCAAAACCCCUGCGGGGGGCGGCAGGGGGGGAUUUUCGGAAAUGGACGAAAGGCGGACCGGGCAACCCCGGGUGGGGGAAGAAGGUUUUGGGAUCGUAAACCUUUGGUGGUAGAGAAAACCGUGGGGGGGAGGGAAAACCUCACCACGGGAGGGUAACUACCAAGAAGGGGAGGCCUACCCACGCC
rnacentral:rRNA from 1 species